GUGUAGCAGGUUAUCGAAUGGAAGAAGCAGCAAGCAUCAAGCAUUUGCGUAACCGCCAGCCAUGUUUACUGGGAUCGAAGACACUCACUUUUAAACCUAAACAGAUCACACGUGACAGUGUGUUUGUGUGUGUGUUUUGGUGGACUGAGUACUGCUGUAACAUAUGGUGCAUUUAGGUCCACAACCUGGAUGUGUUUUUACCAUACAUUAUGGAGAUAGAUCUACCAAUAUUAAAAUAGAAAACUGUAUACAAUUGUAUGGCUCAUUGACCCACAAAGGAAUAAGAAGAAGAACCCAUCCCAAUAAACACUUAUUAGUUAUACUGCCAAUUAUUACGGCAACACAGUACGAACUAACAGGGUGACAGUGAUGUAAUUAUCUUCUUUCAGAUAAUAUACCUUGUUUCUUUCAUGGUUCAUUCCACUACAGCUUGGACUAUGCUCAACAUGUUCAUAUACCCAGCUACAGCCAGGAAGUUUGUCCAGUUUACUUUAAGACACCAAGAAAAUGCAACAUACUUGGGAUGUGUUGUCAGGGAUCAGGAGAACAAGUGUUUUAUCUUGUUGAUGAAAGCAACUUGGUUGGUAAAGGGGAAAACAACUUGUGAGCAUGGUACAUCACUACCUGUAUUGGUGUUCCAUUUGGACAAUGCUGCUGGCCAGAAUAGAUACAAUAACUUGCUGUGGUAUGGUCUGUGGAGAAUUUACUAGGAUAUCACAGUUCAGUUGGUUGAAUUUUCAAUAAUGAUAGCAGGCCAUACUAAAUUUGAACCUGAGUGGCACAUUUCGGAUUUUGGAAGAAUUGAUGGAGGAGGGUGAAUGCUUAGACCU